rnacentral:rRNA from 1 species
AUUGAACGCUGGCGGCAGGCCUAACCCAUGCAAGUCGAACGAGUGGAAGACGGGUGAGUAAUGUCUGGGAAACUGCCCGAUGGAGGGGGAUAACUAGUGGAAACGGUAGCUAAUGACGCAUACAAUCGUAUGUGCCCAGAGAGGAUUAGCUAGUAGGUGGGGUAACGGCUCACCUAGGCUACGAUCCCUAGCUGGUCGGAGAGGAUGACCAGCCACACUGUAACUGAGACACGGUCCAGACUCCUACGGGAGGCAGCAGUGGGGAAUAUUGAACAAUGGGCGCAAGCCUUAUGCAGCCAUGCCGCGUGUAUGAAGAAGGCCUUCGGGUUGUAAAGUACUUUCAGCGGGGAGGCGUUACUCGCAGAAGAAGCACCGGCUAACUCCGUGCCAGCCGCCGCGGUAAUUC